ensembl:snoRNA SNORA71 Small nucleolar RNA SNORA71
ACCUGCAUUCAAAAGGGACCUCGGACUGCCCGUGUCCUGGUCAUCACCAAUGCAGGGAGAGCGAGUGUGGAAAGCUGUUUCCCGUGUUUGGAGGGUGUGUACCUGUCCCUCGCAAAUGCUGGUGCUUUCACACA